rnacentral:rRNA from 1 species
UACAGAGGUCUCAAGCGUUGUUCGGAUUUAUUGGGCGUAAAGGGUGCGUAGGCGGCGGAGUAAGUUGGGUGUGAAAUCCCGGGGCUCAACCUCGGAAUGGCAUUCAAUACUGCUUCGCUAGAGUACUGGAGAGGAGGCUGGAAUUUACGGUGUAGCAGUGAAAUGCGUAGAUAUCGUAAGGAAGGCCGGUGGCGAAGGCGGCAUCCUGGACCGGUAUUGACGCUGAGGCGCGAAAGCCAGGGGAGCAAACGGG